GGCUCCAUAGUUCAACGGAUAGAAUGGAAGUUUCCGGAACUUCAGAUAGUGGUUCGAUUCCACUUGGAGCUACCU
rnacentral:tRNA from 1 species